ACGCUCGACACCUACGGGAGACAGCAGUGGGGAAUAUUGCACAAUGGAGGAAACUCUGAUGCAGCGAUGCCGCGUGAGGGAAGAAGGUUUUCGGAUUGUAAACCUCUGUCUUUGGGGACGAUAAUGACGGUACCCAAGGAGGAAGCUCCGGCUAACUACGUGUCAGCAGCCGCGGUAAUCUGAGCGGGCUGGCAAGGC
rnacentral:rRNA from 1 species